GGGUUGUGAGGUUAAGCGACUAAGCGUACACGGUGGAUGCCCUGGCAGUCAGAGGCGAUGAAGGACGUGCUAAUCUGCGAUAAGCGCCGGUAAGGUGAUAUGAACCGUUAUAACCGGCGAUUUCCGAAUGGGGAAACCCAGUGUGACUCGUCACACUAUCAUUAACUGAAUCCAUAGGUUAAUGAGGCGAACCGGGGGAACUGAAACAUCUAAGUACCCCGAGGAAAAGAAAUCAACCGAGAUUCCCCCAGUAGCGGCGAGCGAACGGGGAGGAGCCCAGAGCCUGAAUCAGCAUGUGUGUUAGUGGAAGCGUCUGGAAAGGCGCGCGAUACAGGGUGACAGCCCCGUACACAAAAGCGCAUGUGCUGUGAGCUCGAUGAGUAGGGCGGGACACGUGGUAUCCUGUCUGAAUAUGGGGGGACCAUCCUCCAAGGCUAAAUACUCCUGACUGACCGAUAGUGAACCAGUACCGUGAGGGAAAGGCGAAAAGAACCCCGGCGAGGGGAGUGAAAAAGAACCUGAAACCGUGUACGUACAAGCAGUGGGAGCCCCACCACUAAGCCAGUGGUGAACUCCACAUACGCAUCCUUUGCUGAGGAUACGGUUAACGGAGCGAAAGCGACGUUCAACCUCAAAAGAAGCAGAGGGGGCUUAGUGGUGGGGUGACUGCGUACCUUUUGUAUAAUGGGUCAGCGACUUAUAUUCUGUAGCAAGGUUAACCGAAUAGGGGAGCCGGAGGGAAACCGAGUCUUAAUUGGGCGUUAAGUUGCAGGGUAUAGACCCGAAACCCGGUGAUCUAGCCAUGGGCAGGUUGAAGGUUGGGUAACACUAACUGGAGGACCGAACCGACUAAUGUUGAAAAAUUAGCGGAUGACCUGUGGCUGGGGGUGAAAGGCCAAUCAAACCGGGAGAUAGCUGGUUCUCCCCGAAAGCUAUUUAGGUAGCGCCUCGUGAAUUCAUCUCCGGGGGUAGAGCACUGUUUCGGCUAGGGGGCCAUCCCGGCUUACCAACCCGAUGCAAACUGCGAAUACCGGAGAAUGUUAUCACGGGAGACACACGGCGGGUGCUAACGUCCGUCGUGAAGAGGGAAACAACCCAGACCGCCAGCUAAGGUCCCAAAGUCAUGGUUAAGUGGGAAACGAUGUGGGAAGGCCCAGACAGCCAGGAUGUUGGCUUAGAAGCAGCCAUCAUUUAAAGAAAGCGUAAUAGCUCACUGGUCGAGUCGGCCUGCGCGGAAGAUGUAACGGGGCUAAACCAU
rnacentral:rRNA from 1 species